UAUUCUCAGAUAUAUUAUUAACCCUGUUAUUAGCAGGACAAUAUAUAUUGGUCGUGGCUCCCAAGUGGUGCACAAUGGGAUUGCCUUGCAGUUCUCCAGCUGUAUCCACUGAAACAGCGGUGGCUGCAAAAGGUUCAAUGCAAGGGGCGUUGGGAUGGGCCCGCAGAUUCGUGCACAGAAGACGGACCUAGCCCAUGGGGAAGGGGGGUUGGAACCCCACCCCGCCCCAUUUGGUAGAACAGAGCAACAAUUUUUAAGGAGCAUUUCACUAAUCAUGGCACUGACUGGGGAAACGUUCCUUCUGUUCUUAGUGCCAGUCUGCACGUUCAAACUAAAACAAUGUAACUAAUAACAGCGGGAAAAAUGCCCCUUUUUAAAUAUGAAUUGGGAGGGCAGAUAUUAUUAAAUAUUAAGGCAUUAGACCUCUCACUAAAGGUGUCACUCAAACGUUAUACUUAAAUCCGAACGAAAAAUUAUAUGAAAAGCACACAUUUGUAUAUCCCAAACUUCAAGGUAAUUGGAAAGUUAGAUACAAAUUAUUUGUGACAUUGGGGUUACAAUAAAGAAUGUAAACAAGAUGCUGUGUUUUUAUUUACAGUAGUGAUGGAUAGCUGGUGGCAUUUUGAAAACAGAUUUUCAAACACUUGUAUCCUGAUUAGCAGGACAAUAGACUCUUCAUAUCCCGGCUAAUGUAGGCGUGAACAUCCCCCUACCUGCAAAAAAUGACACUGUGACCAAAGAGAACAGACGAAAUGGACAUUGUUUUCAUCAAGUCAGCUUCUUUCUAUGGUGCUACCCGUUCCAGGGUUUGGACCGUAACCACAAGCUGCUUUCUAUGGUGCUACCCGUUCCAGGGUUUGGACCGUAACCACAAGCUUCUUUCUAUGGUGCUACCCGUUCCAGGGUUUGGACCGUAACCACAAGCUUCUUUCUAUGGUGCUACCCGUUCCAGGGUUUGGACCGUAACCACAAGCUUCUUUCUAUGGUGCUACCCGUUCCAGGGUUUGGACCGUAACCACAAGCUUCUUUCUAUGGUGCUACCCGUUCCAGGGUUUGGACCGUAACCACAAGCUUCUUUCUAUGGUGCUACCCGUUCCAGGGUUUGGACCAUAACCACAAGAGGACUUGAAAAAUUAGCCGGAGCUGAGAGGAUCACCAAAACUAAAGAGUUUACAAACAUGCCUACAACCAUCCAUGGAGAUCAGUGGACAAAGGGCUGGACAAUGGGCCUCACCGAAAAAAUGCAUGGGUGUCAAGAAAGCGGCCACUGUAAUCGAUGGGGCUCAGGGCUGUACCAUUCUGUCAUAUGAUGAAGGUGCACAUGGAUCAGAUUCAAACUUUGAAGAUCGAGAUUGAGUCAUUGAAGGCAGACCAGCAGAAAGAGAAACAAUAUCGGAGGGCAGAGAUACGGGUGACAGUUGAUGCAUUGGUCCAGAACCAGGCGGCAUUGUCGGAGAGUCAGGCGGAGAAUGAUGCGUUGAAGAGGGCGAUGAAAAGAGAUGGAGUCACAAUCCAUACCCGUGCCGGUGUGUCAGACACACCUGUGACCUCUGGAACUCCACCUCCGACAGGCGGAGUCAACAUACCUGGCGGGUUCAUCAAGUUGUCUGUUCACCCUGACAUUUCCAUUCCUCUUCUGACAACAGAACUUGAUCAACUGCUCACCAGGCACAGCAAUGGCCGUCUGGACCAUCAUACUGUUCUGCUAUAGCCUAAUAAACAAAUGCAGGGGGGCUUAUAUCUUCAAAAUGCUUUAUUAUCCAAAUGUCAUAGCAUGUACUGUAUUUCAUCAUCAGCAUCUUUCUGCUUUCGUUAAUAAAAUAAUG